GUGCUUUGGCAGCACUUAUACUAAAGUUGGAACAAUACAGAGGAGAUCAGCAUGGCCCCUGUGCAAGGAUGACACGCAGAUUCGUGAAGCGUUCCGUAUUUUG